rnacentral:misc_RNA from 1 species
UGGACCCCUCCUCACCAUCUAUAGAGCAUACAUUUUAAAUUUCAAGUCUCUUACUUCAAAACAUAGGAUUUUGAUACAAACUUCCAACCCCCGUUUUAUCCCUUUAAGGGUCGAGUUUCGUAAAAUCAGUUCUUAGCGAAUAUCUACGUCCUAUAAGGAACCUACUUGCCAAAUUUCAAGUUUGUAGGUGUUAUAGUUUCGGAGAUUUCGUGAUGAAUGACCUUUCGCGUUUAUAUAUAUUAUAGAUUAAAAAAAAUAAAAUAAAAAA